CCUUCCUUGUGGGGGGUAGUCGAGCGGCGAACGGGUGAGUAACACGUGAACAACUUACCCCUGGCACGGGGAUAACUCUGGGAAACUGGGGCUAAUACCGGAUGGGCAUUGGUUUGGGCAUCUGGACUGAUGUAAAGGGGCAUUGAUCGUAAGGUUGGUGUCUGGCUGGGGAUGGGUUCGCGGUCUAUCAGCUUGUUGGUGGGGUAAUGGCUUACCAAGGCUUCGACGGGUAGCCGGCCUGAGAGGGUGAUCGGCCACACUGGGACUGAGAUACGGCCCAGACUCCUACGGGAGGCAGCAGUGGGGAAUCUUGCACAAUGGGCGGAAGCCUGAUGCAGCGACGCCGCGUGGGGGAUGACGGCCUUCGGGUUGUAAACCUCUUUUGGCCCUGACGAAUGGUGACGGUAGGGGUUGAAGAAGCACCGGCUAACUACGUGCCAGCAGCCGCGGUAAUACGUAGGGUGCGAGCGUUGUCCGGAUUUAUUGGGCGUAAAGAGCUCGUAGGCGGUUUGUCGCGUCGAUCGUGGAAUCCAGGGGCUUAACUCUUGGUGUGCGGUCGAUACGGGCAGACUGGAGGACGGUAGGGGCAAGUGGAAUUCCUGGUGUAGCGGUGGAAUGCGCAGAUAUCAGGAGGAACACCGAUGGCGAAGGCAGCUUGCUGGGCCGUUCCUGACGCUGAGGAGCGAAAGCGUGGGUAGCGAACAGGAUUAGAUACCCUGGUAGUCCACGCCGUAAACAUUGGGCGCUAGGUGUGGGGGUGUGGUGUACAUGUCCCGUGCCGUAGCUAACGCAUUAAGCGCCCCGCCUGGGGGAGUACGGCCGCAAGGCUAAAACUCAAAG
rnacentral:rRNA from 1 species